UACGAAGGGUGCAAGCGUUACUCGGAAUUACUGGGCGUAAAGCGUGCGUAGGUCGUUCGUUAAGUCUGAUGUGAAAGCCCUGGGCUCAACCUGGGAAUGGCAUUUGGGACUGCAAGGCUGGAGUGUGGCAGAGGAGACUGGAAUUCCUGGUGUAGCAGUGAAAUGCGUAGAUAUCAGGAGGAAUACCGAUGGCGAAGGCAGGUCUCUGGGCUAACACUGACGCUCAUGCACGAAAGCGUGGGGAGCAAACAGG
rnacentral:rRNA from 1 species